UGAUAUUCUUCAUGAACGGCGUCGUGGAUUCGGCGUGAACGAAGACGGUUCGUGGAUUCGGAUCGUGAGCUCGUGGAUUCGAGUGGGCGUCGUGGAUUCGACGUGAUCGAGGCUUCGUGGAUUCGAAGUGGUGACGUUUUGUGGAUUCGGGACGUGGCGUUCGUGGAUUCGGACGUGGGGCGUGGACAACCCGUUGGUGUGCGCGAGAUCCGGAGAAGAUAGAAGAGAGGUUUGAGUCCGUGGAUUCAGUAAAACACCUUGUAAUCUUUUAGUCUUAGUGGAUUGUUAUCGCGUGUUGGUCCCGUGGGUUUUUUACUCCGAGUUUGGAGUUUUUUCACGUAAAUCUCGGUGUGCUUUUUAUUUUCCGCAUUUAUUUUUAUUGCAUCGAGAUUUGUGGUUUUUUGGCCUUUCACCUAUUCACCCCCCUUUAGGUGAUAGAUACAAUCUAGAUAGAUCCUUGGGCUCCUCAAAACUUUCAAUUGGUAUCAGAGCGGGAUCUAGAUAUAUUGUUAUCUAAUGGCUGAAGGUGGUAACAUUAAUCGACCUCCGCUCUUCGACGGCACGAAUUAUACCUAUUGGAAAGUUCGCAUGAGAGCUUUUCUAAUUGCUAUCGAUGAGCGGGUUUGGCAAUCAAUUGAAUUUGGGUGGAAACAUCCGCUAGAAAAGGUCGAUAAUGUUGAAAAGCCAAAACCACGGAACAAGUGGACAAAAGAAGAAAACGAGACAUCUUCGUUUAACGGCAAGGGCAUAAACGCUUUAUUCAAUGCCUUAUCGCAAACGGAGUUUACUCGUGUUUCGGCUUGUGAAACGGCAAAGGAAAUUUGGGAUACUCUACAAGUUACGCAUGAAGGAACAAGCUUAGUAAAGGUCCAAAAAUUGCAAAUGCUAACUAGCAAGUUUGAUUCAAUUUCUAUGGACGAAAAUGAGACCUUUACCGAGUACUAUACACGUCUACAAGAUGUUGUGAACACAUGUGCUAACUUGGGAGAGAAAAUUCCGGAUUCAAAGGUUGUUAGGAAAAUCCUUCGCACUCUUCCGGAACGUUUUCGGGCUAAAGUAGCCGCGAUCGAAACGGUCAAGCAUCCGGACGAGAUGAAGGUCGAAGAAUUAGUAGGUGCUUUGCAAACUUAUGAGAUGACUUUUCCUACUAAUCAAUCUUCUUCCAAUUCUUCUUCUAAAAGCACAGGUGUUGCAUUGAAAUCUACAAAGGAGAAGGACGAAGACUCGAGUUCCGAUGAUGAUUUAUCAAUUGCGGACUUUGAACAACAAUUGGCGCUUCUCACGAAGAAGUUUCGUCGGAAUUUUCGAAAGAAGAAUAGAUCGAACAAGGCUUCAGCGUCUAAAUCUUUUUCGUCUACAUCUAAGGAGAAGAAGCGUGCAAAGGCUUCGAAAGAAAAGGAUGUCUUUGAAGGCGAGAUCCAAUGCUUCAAGUGCAAAGGUUACGGCCACAUUGCGACGGAUUGUCCUUCAAAGAGGACAUCUAGACAAAAGGCUAUGCAAGCAAAGACGUGGGAUGAUUCAACAUCAAGUGAAUCAUCGUCAAGUGACGAAGAAAAGGAUGAUCAAAUUGCUUUAUUUGCUAAUGCUCCCUCGUCGAAUGUUGUGUGUUUAUCCUCUGUUGCUACUAACUCCAAUAUUUCUCUUUCUUCACAUGAUUCAUCGAGCAACAAUGGCGAAAGUGAAGAGGAAUCAAACGACGACGACAUAGCGGAAGCGUACAAUCAACUUCUUAUUGAAUCAAAGAAGAUGGCUAAACUCAACAAGAAGUUGAGACGUCGUUUGUUGGAACUUGAGGAGGAAAACAACAAUGUAAAGAAUUUGAAUAAGGUUCUUGUGGAGGAAAGGGAUUCAAGUUUGAAGAUUAAUUCGGACCUCCAAGAGAAGCUUAGUGAUGCGGAAUCAACGAUCAAAUCCUCUAAUGACAAGAUUGGACUUUUGGAGCAUCAAUUUCAUGAAUCGCACAAGUCCAAUCAAGUCUUGAUCUGUCAACUCCCAAUCCAUCUUCACGAUUUCUUCUGGGAUCAAAGAAGUUGACAAAAUGUUGGAUUGGGCUCAAACGAGCAAAUUGGGUCUUGGAUUGAAGGACAUAUGUUUGAGAGGAUCAAACUGGCGACCAUCUAAGUCUCACUAACUUUCAAAAGCGCACAGUGUGUCAUCGAUGUGGCCAUUCGAAGGAACGAUGCAAAAGGAAUUGCCCAACAAAAAUGGCAAGAGUCACCAAUGGCAAUCAAAAACAUUCAUCAUGGCUUCAUCUAGCAAGUCGACUUCCCCCGCGGAAUCAAAAGAAAAAUCAAGUGGUCGGCUAUUCUCAAAAGAACCGGUUUUCUAGCGCACACGUCAACCGUCAAGAUUUAUACAAACGGAUGUCUUAAUCCUCAACGACUAAAUUCAAUGAAGCCUCAACGAAGAAACCACAAACGGUUGAUAAAAAAUCUUAAGCAACGGCACCAAACGUCGACAAGCCGACGAAAACCAAAGACCGACAAGUUUGGAUCCGGAAGAGUGAUCUUCCUUGGCAUAAUCCUCGUCUUUAGUCAUUUGAUCUUUGUGUAAUGCCGUGUGGAUUGGUGUUUGUUGAAUAAUUUUAUUCAUUUCAUUACAUGUUAAAUGAUUUUUGGAGUUUUUGCUUUGAAUUUUGUUUAUUUAAAAUCAUUUUGAGGAAAAGGGUGUUUUGGGAUUCAAAUUUUCGAGAAAGGAUGAUGAUGAGGAAUCUUUUGGAGAGAGAAUAUUCUUUAAUUGUCGCGUAAACGGUAAUUUACCUUCACAAUCAUAUAAAUGUUAAAUCAUAUAUGCUUCAUUUUUACUCCAAUUUUUAUUCAUUUUGACCGAUAAAAUUAUAUAUGAUUGCUGUAAUGCAUAAAUUCAUCAAAUUUUCUGAAAUCAAAUUUGAUUUUUUGGUGAUUAAUUUCAUCUGGUUGUGACGUGUUGGAUAUGAUGAAUGGGUAUUCCUAAUUGACUAAAAUUCGUCAAAAUUGUAUUUUCAUUGUGAGAUUGUCUAAUUUAUGGGUGAGUUUGAAAUUGUUUAAAAUAAAAAAGGAGAAAAAAAAACUCCUAGGGUUUAAAAGACUGGGUGGAAAAGGUUACAUCAAAAGGAGUGUGAAAACUACCACCAACUCGUAGGAAAGAGUACCACCCCGGUCGUCCGGAAGAUGUGUGAAGUCCAGCAAUGAAAUUAAUUGGAUAAGCGAAACGUUGGAAAAAUUAAAUAUUUAGAAUUUCGGAGUAAUAAGGUGCUAGUUUUGAAAAAGAUGCAUCAAAGAGCAGCCCUGGUAAUCUAUUUUAAGUUAAUCUCUAUUUUGAAAUGUAGUUGCGACAUUCGACAGCGAUGUGCAAUUUUGUCUUUGAAUUCUAAAAUCAUUUUCAUCAACUUACAUCUGGAUGGUUUUUGGUAUUAAAUUAUUUUGAUUUUGAAAUUUUGAUGCUUUGAUGUUGUUGUGAAAUUUAUAUAUUAUUCAUUCAAUGAUUUUUGGAGAAAGCCUUACUAUAUGAUUUAAUUUAAUGUGAUGGAUUUUUAAAGCAAAUUUUCGAAAUCUGAGCAUCGUUCAUUGGCUUUAGUCUCUCUCCUUCUCUAGUUUGCCUUUUAGAUCGAUGAUGUUUUAGUUUCAGUUUUGCUUGUUUUUUUUGGCCUGUAACUAUGACUGACUACGCUUUACAUCCUUUUUUCUAAGUAUGUUAUUCUUCUCUAUUUGAUUUCUUUUUAGGCAUUUUUACGAAAAGGGGAGAGAGCGUAGAUGAAGGGGGGGAGCAUGGCAUAGAACAAGUGCAGUUGAACUGAAGCAGAGGAUGAUGAUGUUCAGAACAAAGGGGGAGAUGCUGAGAACAAAGGGUGGCGAGAGGUAUUAAGAAUUUAGUUGCUCAAUUCAUUUUGAAUGAAUGUUCAAGACUCCUAGUUGCGGUUGCUAAGUUCUAUGAGUACUUUUUAGGAGUUUUGUAUGUAAUUUUGAGUUUUCAGAAUUGAUAUUGGAUUACAACGAGGACUAGCAGCCAACGCGCGCGGGUUCGAUGUUUGUGAUGGACAUUGAACUUCCGUUUAUUUUUACAUUGUCAUUUGUGAGUUUGUGUGUGUUUUGUCAGCGAUUUGCCAAAGGGGAGAUUUUUAGUCCUAUAGUGUUGGCAAGUUUCGUGGGUCGAGUCGAGUCUUGAAGAGUUCGGAGCACGGAGUAUUGAAAAUCCGAAGAAUCCAAGACUAUCGAAGAAUCGGAACAGGACGCAAAACACCAAAACAUUGAAUCACGAUGCGUUAGGUAAGUUUUAAAUCUUGUUUUUGGAUUCUAUACUUAUUUAGAAAUUUUAGAAUCAUUAUUUCAAGUUGUAAUGUCAUUAGAAAGUUUCUCGGAGUUGUAAAAUACGCGAAACAAUAGAUUUCAGGCGAAAAUUGCAUUGCUGUAGGCCGGUACAAGGGUUUCUGUCCAGGGUCAGCCAUAUCAACGUUGCGCAUGAAGUUUGAUGUUGUUCGGUACAAAGGUUUUCUGUCCAGAGGUACAGGGCCUAUCAACGUGUAGCCAGAAAGUUUAUGCGUUGUUCCGGUACAGCACUUCAUGCUGUACCGGUACAAGCCCUUUGUUCCGGAAAGCUGAAGCUAUCCAGGUAGGAGCUUCGCAGAAAAAAUCUUCUCAUGUUGUACCUGGAAACAUUCCUUGUUCGGUACAAGUGCUGUUUUGGAAGAAACUUUCUAAUUCGACUCCAAUUGAUUCUAAAGUCUAUAACAUAAGCUAAUUGGGCUUCUCUAACACAUCAAGGAUCAUAAGAAUACAUGUUUGAGAAACCCUAGUGGCUUGAUUUCAUCUAAACCUAUUUUCUACAAAAAGCCUCUUUUAGAUCAAAUCGAGAUAUUCAAAUUUGAUAUUAAUAUGUCGAUUUGAUCUCCGCUUUGCUUGGAGUUCUAUCCUGGUUUUCUACAAUACUCCAAAGCGAAGGAUUCACCAUAUUCAUGAUAUUCUUCAUGAACGGCGCAGCGUCGUGGAUUCGGCGUGAACGAAGACGCGUUUCGUGGAUUGGAUCGUGAGCUCGUGGAUUCGAUGGGCGUCGUGGAUUCGACGUGAUCGAGGCUUCGUGGAUUCGAAGUGGUGACGUUUCUGUGGAUAUCGGGACGUGCGUUCGUGGAUUCGACGUGGGGCGUGGACAACCGUUGGUGUGCGCGAGAUCCGGAGAAGAUAGAAGAGAGUUUGAGUCCGUGGAUUCAGUAAAACACCUUGUAAUCUUUUAUUCUU
rnacentral:lncRNA from 1 species